GGUGUUGCAGGAGCAAUAGGUGUCUGUUCACCAUCAUAUCUGAGUGUUUUAGGAGAUUCUGGUAUACCCACAUGCAGAGGUGUUGCAUGAGCAAUAGGUAUUUGUUCUUCACAUCUGAGUUUACCAGGAGAUUCAGGUAUGUCCUCAUGCAGAGAUGACAAAGGACCAAUAGGUAUCUCCUCACGCAGAGAUGUUGCAGAAGCAACAGGCAUUUGUUCCCCAUAUCUGAGUGUAUCAGGAGGACCUGGUCUGCAGGAGCAAUAGGUAUUUGUUCUUCACAUCUGAGUUUACCAGGAGAUUCAGGUAUGUCCUCAUGCAGAGAUGACAAAGGACCAAUAGGUAUCUCCUCACGCAGAGAUGUUGCAGAAGCAACAGGCAUUUGUUCCCCAUAUCUGAGUGUAUCAGGAGGACCUGGUAUUUCCUCAUGCAGAGGAACUUCUACUGUUU
rnacentral:lncRNA from 1 species